rnacentral:rRNA from 1 species
GCGUUGUCCGGAAUUAUUGGGCGUAAAGGGUGCGCAGGCGGUUUUUCAAGUCAGAUGUAAAAUCUCCCGGCUUAACUGGGAGGGGCCAUUUGAAACUGAAGGACUAGAGUGCAGGAGAGGAUAGCGGAAUUCCCGGUGUAGUGGUGAAAUGCGUAGAUAUCGGGAGGAACACCAGAGGCGAAGGCGGCUAUCUGGCCUGCAACUGACGCUGAGGCACGAAGGCUAG